GAUGAAGAACGUAGCGAAAUGCGAUAAGUAAUGUGAAUUGCAGAAUUCCGUGAAUCAUCGAAUCUUUGAACGCAUAUUGCGCCCUCUGGUAUUCCGGAGGGCAUGCCUGUCCGAGCGUCAUUACUAUCUUCAAGCACGGCUUGUGUGUUGGGCCUCCGUCCUCCUCCCGGGGGACGGGCCCGAAAGGCAGCGGCGGCACCGCGUCCGGUCCUCGAGCGUAUGGGGCUUCGUCACCCGCUCUUGUAGGCCCGGCCGGCGCUUGCCGACACAUCAAUCUUUUUUCCAGGUUGACCUCGGAUCAGGUAGGGAUACCCGCUGAACUUAAGCAUAUCAAUAAGCGGAGGA
rnacentral:misc_RNA from 1 species